GACGAACGCUGGCGGCGUGCUUAACACAUGCAAGUCGAACGGAAAGGCCCUGCUUUUGUGGUGUGCUCGAGUGGCGAACGGGUGUGUAACACGUGAGUAACCUGCCCUUGACUUUGGGAUAACUUCAGGAAACUGGGGCUAAUACCCGAUAGGAUCUCCUGCUGCUUGGUGGUGGUUGGUAAGUUUCGGCGGUUGGGGAUGUACUCGCGGGUUAUCAGCUUGUUGGUGGGGUAGUGGCUUACCAAGGCUUUGACGGGUAGCCGGCCUGAGAGGGUGACCGGAGAGAAUGGGAGGGAGAGACGGCGCAGAAGGGAACGGGAGGGAGGAGUGGGGAAAAUAGCAAAAUGGGCGGAAGCGGGAUGCAGAAACGCAGCGAGCGGGAAGAGGGCCGUAGGGUUGUAAACAGAAAGAGAAUGUGAGGAAGCGGGAGUGACGGUAAUGGGUAAAGAAGCACCGGCUAACUACGUG
rnacentral:rRNA from 1 species